rnacentral:piRNA from 1 species
UACUCUAUCAAAUAGAAAUGGAAGGCACGCU